AGUGAACGCUGGCGGUAGGCCUAACACAUGCAAGUCGAACGGCAGCACAGUAAGAGCUUGCUCUUACGGGUGGCGAGUGGCGGACGGGUGAGGAAUACAUCGGAAUCUACUUUUUUGUGGGGGAUAAUGUAGGGAAACUUACGCUAAUACCGCAUACGACCUACGGGUGAAAGCAGGGGAUCUUCGGACCUUGCGCGAUUGAAUGAGCCGAUGUCGGAUUAGCUAGUUGGCGGGGUAAAGGCCCACCAAGGCGACGAUCCGUAGCUGGUCUGAGAGGAUGAUCAGCCACACUGGAAGUGAGACACGGUCCAGACUCCUACGGGAGGCGGCAGUGGGGAAUAUUGGACAAUGGGCGCAAGCCUGAUCCAGCCAUACCGCGUGGGUGAAGAAGGCCUUCGGGUUGUAAAGCCCUUUUGUUGGGAAAGAAAAGCAGCAGGUUAAUACCCCGCUGUUCUGACGGUACCCAAAGAAUAAGCACCGGCUAACUUCGUG
rnacentral:rRNA from 1 species